rnacentral:rRNA from 1 species
CCUACGGGGGGUAGCAGUGGGGAAUAUUGCACAAUGGGGGAAACCCUGAUGCAGCGACGCCGCGUGAGUGAAGAAGUAAUUCGGUAUGUAAAGCUCUAUCAGCAGGGAAGAAAAUGACGGUACCUGAGUAAGAAGCCCCGACUAACUACGUGCCAACAGCCGCGGCAAUACGUAGGGGGCAAGCGUUAUCCGGAUUUACUGGGCGUAAAGGGAGCGUAGACGGCAAGGCAAGUCUGGAGUGAAAGGCGGGGGCUCACACCCCGGACUGCUCUGGAAACUGCCAGGCUGGAGUGCAGGAGAGGUAAGUGGAAUUCCUAGUGUAGCGGUGAAAUGCGUAGAUAUUAGGAGGAACACCAGUGGCGAAGGCGGCUUACUGGACGGUAACUGACGUUGAGGCUCGAAAGCGUGGGGAGCAAACAGGAUUAGAUACCCUGGUAGUC